GUCUGGUGCGUAGUUUGACUGGGGCGGUCUCCUCCUAAAGCGUAACGGAGGAGCACGAAGGUUGGCUAAUCCCGGUCGGACAUCAGGAGGUUAGUGCAAUGGCAUAAGCCAGCUUGACUGCGAGCGUGACGGCGCGAGCAGGUGCGAAAGCAGGUCAUAGUGAUCCGGUGGUUCUGAAUGGAAGGGCCAUCGCUCAACGGAUAAAAGGUACUCCGGGGAUACCAGGCUGAUACCGCCCAACAGUUCAUAU
rnacentral:rRNA from 1 species